AUCCAAAACGAUUCCCUUUUCAAGGAGCCUGCUUGUGCCCAUCUUCAGAAAAGUAGCAACUCGGAAUAAAAUCUGGAAUGCUUUAGGUUGUUGGAGGAGAGGGGAUGUUUGUUUCCUUUGCCUUCCUUUGGCUACCUACACAU
rnacentral:snoRNA from 1 species